rnacentral:rRNA from 1 species
AACGAACGCUGGCGGCAUGCCUAACACAUGCAAGUCGAACGAGACCUCCGGGUCUAGUGGCGCACGGGUGCGUAACGCGUGGGAACCUGCCCUUAGGUUCGGAAUAACUCCCCGAAAGGGGUGCUAAUACCGGAUAAUGUCUUCGGACCAAAGAUUUAUUGCCUUUGGAUGGGCCCGCGUUGGAUUAGCUAGUUGGUAGGGUAAAAGCCUACCAAGGCGAGGAUCCAUAGCUGGUCUGAGAGGAUGAUCAGCCACACUGGGACUGAGACACGGCCCAGACUCCUACGGGAGGGAGGAGAGGGGAAUAGUGGACAAUGGGCGAAGGCCUGAUCCAGCAAUGACGCGUAAGUGAUGAAGGCCGUAGGGUUGUAAAGCUCUUUUACCCGGGAUGGUAAUGACAGUACCGGGAGAAUAAGCUCCGGCUAACUCCGUG